UACGUAGGGGGCAAGCGUUGUCCGGAAUUAUUGGGCGUAAAGAGCGCGUAGGCGGUCCGAUAAGUCGGCUGUGAAAGUCAGGGGCUCAACCCUUGAAAGCCGGCCGAUACUGUCGGACUAGAGUCCGGAAGAGGCGAGUGGAAUUCCCGGUGUAGCGGUGAGAUGCGCAGAUAUCGGGAGGAACACCAAUGGCGAAGGCAGCUCGCUGGGACGGUACUGACGCUGAGACGCGAAAGCGUGGGGAGCGAACAGG
rnacentral:rRNA from 1 species